GUCUACGGCCAUUCUACCUUGAACAUGGCCAAUCUCCUCUGAUCUUGGCAGCUAAGCAGGGUCAGGCCUGGUUAGUACUUGGAUGGGAGACCACCUGGGAAAACCAGGUGCCGUAGGCU